rnacentral:rRNA from 1 species
CCUACGGGAGGCUGCAGUGGGGAAUAUUGGACAAUGGGGGGAACCCUGAUCCAGCCAUGCCGCGUGUGUGAAGAAGGCCCUCGGGUUGUAAAGCACUUUCAGUGAGGAAGAACGCCUGGUGGUUAAUACCCAUCAGGAAAGACAUCACUCACAGAAGAAGCACCGGCUAACUCCGUGCCAGCAGCCGCGGUAAUACGGAGGGUGCGAGCGUUAAUCGGAAUUACUGGGCGUAAAGCGCGCGUAGGUGGCUUGAUAAGCCGGUUGUGAAAGCCCCGGGCUCAACCUGGGAACGGCAUCCGGAACUGUCAAGCUAGAGUGCAGGAGAGGAAGGUAGAAUUCCCGGUGUAGCGGUGAAAUGCGUAGCGAUCGGGAGGAAUACCAGUGGCGAAGGCGGCCUUCUGGACUGACACUGACACUGAGGUGCGAAAGCGUGGGUAGCAAACAGGAUUAGAUACCCCUGUAGUC